AGCGAACGCUGGCGGCAGGCCUAACACAUGCAAGUCGAACGGAUCCUUCGGGAUUAGUGGCGGACGGGUGAGUAACACGUGGGAACGUGCCCUUUGGUUCGGAACAACUCAGGGAAACUUGAGCUAAUACCGGAUGUGCCCUUCGGGGGAAAGAUUUAUCGCCAUUGGAGCGGCCCGCGUCUGAUUAGCUAGUUGGUGAGGUAAAGGCUCACCAAGGCGACGAUCAGUAGCUGGUCUGAGAGGAUGAUCAGCCACAUUGGGACUGAGACACGGCCCAAACUCCUACGGGAGGCAGCAGUGGGGAAUCUUGUGCAAUGGGCGAAAGCCUGACGCAGCCAUGCCGCGUGAAUGAUGAAGGUCUUAGGAUUGUAAAAUUCUUUCACCGGGGACGAUAAUGACGGUACCCGGAGAAGAAGCUCCGGCUAACUUCGUGCCAGCCGCCGCAGUAAUAC
rnacentral:rRNA from 1 species